rnacentral:rRNA from 1 species
GACGAACGCUGGCGGCGCGCCUAACACAUGCAAGUCGAACGGAGAUACCAGAAAGAUCCUUUCGGGGUGAAUUUUGACUAUCUUAGUGGCGGACGGGUGAGUAACACGUGAGCAACCUGCCUUACAGAGGGGGAUAACAUCUGGAAACGGAUACUAAUACCGCAUAACAUUUUGAAACCGCAUGGUUUUGAGAUCAAAGCUUUUAUCGCUGUAAGAUGGGCUCGCGUCCGAUUAGAUAGUUGGUGAGGUAACGGCUCACCAAGUCGACGAUCGGUAGCCGGACUGAGAGGUUGAACGGCCACAUUGGGACUGGGACACGGCCCAGACUCCUACGGGAGGCAGCAGUGGGGAAUAUUGCGCAAUGGGGGAAACCCUGACGCAGCAACGCCGCGUGAUUGAAGAAGGCCUUCGGGUUGUAAAGAUCUUUAAUCAGGGACGAAGGAAGUGACGGUACCUGAAGAAUAAGCUCCGGCUAAUUACGUGCCAGCAGCCGCAGUAAGAC